rnacentral:rRNA from 1 species
CGCUGGCGGCGUGCCUAAUACAUGCAAGUCGAGCGGGGUUGUUUGGAAGCUUGCUUCCGAAGCAACCUAGCGGCGGACGGGUGAGUAAUACGUAGGCAACCUGCCCCUCAGCCUGGGAUAACUAGCGGAAACGUUAGCUAAUACCGGAUAAUUUGCUUCAUCGCAUGAAGGAGCAAUGAAAGACGGAGCAAUCUGUCACUAAGGGAUGGGCCUACGGCGCAUUAGCUAGUUGGUAGGGUAAUGGCCUACCAAGGCGACGAUGCGUAGCCGACCUGAGAGGGUGAACGGCCACACUGGGACUGAGACACGGCCCAGACUCCUACGGGAGGCAGCAGUGGGGAAUCUUCCGCAAUGGACGCAAGUCUGACGGAGCAACGCCGCGUGAAGUGAUGAAGGUUUUCGGAUCGUAAAGCUCUGUUGCCAGGGAAGAACGUCUUGGAGAGUAACUGCUCUAAGAGUGACGGUACCUGAGAAGAAAGCCCCGGCUAACUACGUGCCAGCCGCCGC